rnacentral:rRNA from 1 species
UACGUAGGGUGCAAGCGUUAAUCGGAAUUACUGGGCGUAAAGCGUGCGCAGGCGGUUGUGUAAGACAGAUGUGAAAUCCCCGGGCUCAACCUGGGAACUGCAUUUGAGACUGCACAGCUGGAGUGCGGCAGAGGGGGAUGGAAUUCCGCGUGUAGCAGUGAAAUGCGUAGAUAUGCGGAGGAACACCGAUGGCGAAGGCAAUCCCCUGGGCCUGCACUGACGCUCAUGCACGAAAGCGUGGGGAGCAAACAGG